rnacentral:rRNA from 1 species
GACGAACGCUGGCGGCGUGCUAACACCUGCAAGUCGAACGGAAAGGCCCUGCUUUUGUGGGGUGCUCGAGUGGCGAACGGGUGAGUAACACGUGAGUAACCUGCCCUUGACUUUGGGAUAACUUCAGGAAACUGGGGCUAAUACCGGAUAGGAGCUCCUGCUGCAUGGUGGGGGUUGGAAAGUUUCGGCGGUUGGGGAUGGACUCGCGGCUUAUCAGCUUGUUGGUGGGGUAGUGGCUUACCAAGGCUUUGACGGGUAGCCGGCCUGAGAGGGUGACCGGCCACAUUGGGACUGAGAUACGGCCCAGACUCCUACGGGAGGCAGCAGUGGGGAAUAUUGCACAAUGGGCGGAAGCCUGAUGCAGCAACGCCGCGUGCGGGAUGACGGCCUUCGGGUUGUAAACCGCUUUCGCCUGUGACGAAGCGUGAGUGACGGUAAUGGGUAAAGAAGCACCGGCUAACUACGUG